UACAGAGGGUGCAAGCGUUGUUCGGAAUUAUUGGGCGUAAAGCGCGUGUAGGCGGCUUUGCAAGUCGGGUGUGAAAGCCCUCAGCUUAACUGAGGAAGUGCGCCCGAAACUGCUUGGCUUGAGUACCGGAGAGGAUGGCGGAAUUCCCGAAGUAGAGGUGAAAUUCGUAGAUAUCGGGAGGAACACCGGUGGCGAAGGCGGCCAUCUGGACGGAUACUGACGCUGAGACGCGAAAGCGUGGGGAGCAAACAGG
rnacentral:rRNA from 1 species